GUGCUCGCUUCGGCAGCACAUAUACUAAAAUUGGAAUGAUACAGAGAAGAUUAGCAUGGCCCCUGCGCAAGGAUGACACACAAAUUCGUAAUUUCCAUCAGUCUGAA
rnacentral:snRNA from 1 species